AUACGGAGGGUGCAAGCGUUACUCGGAAUCACUGGGCGUAAAGCGCGCGCAGGCGGCUUGAUAAGUUGGAUGUGAAAGCCUACGGCUCAACCGUAGAACUGCAUCCAAAACUGUCAGGCUAGAGUGUGGGAGAGGAAGAUGGAAUUAGUUGUGUAGGGGUAAAAUCCGUAGAGAUAACUAGGAAUACCAAAAGCGAAGGCAAUCUUCUGGAACACUACUGACGCUGAGGCGCGGAGGCGUGGGGAGCAAACAGGAUUAGAAACCCGGGUAGUCC
rnacentral:rRNA from 1 species